rnacentral:ncRNA from 1 species
CACCUGGUUGAUCCUGCCAGUAGUCAUAUGCUUGUCUCAAAGAUUAAGCCAUGCAUGUCUAAGUAUAAGCUUUAAACGGCGAAACUGCGAAUGGCUCAUUAAAACAGUUAUAGUUUAUUUGGUGAUCGAUUACUAUUUGGAUAACCGUAGUAAUUCUAGAGCUAAUACAUGCGUCAAGGCCCGACUUCGGAAGGGCUGCGUUUAUUAGAUACAGAACCAACCUAGGCUCCGCCUAGUCCUUGUUGGUGAUUCAUAAUAACCCGGCGAAUCGCACGGCUUGUCCGGCGAUGGACCAUUCAAGUUUCUGACCUAUCAGCUAUGGACGGUAGGGUAUUGGCCUACCGUGGCGUUGACGGGUAACGGGGAAUUAGGGUUCGAUUCCGGAGAGGGAGCCUGAGAAACGGCUACCACAUCUAAGGAAGGCAGCAGGCGCGCAAAUUACCCAAUCCUGAUACAGGGAGGUAGUGACAAGAAAUAACAAUACAGGGCAAUUCUGUCUUGUAAUUGGAAUGAGUAGAUUUUAAAUCUCUUUACGAGUAUCAAUUGGAGGGCAAGUCUGGGUGCCAGCAGCCGCGGGUAAUUCCCAGCUCCAAUAGCGUAUAUAAAAGUUGUUGCGGUUAAAAAGCUCGUAUUUGGAUUUCUGCCUUGG